rnacentral:rRNA from 1 species
GAUGAACGCUAGCGGCAGGCCUAACACAUGCAAGUCGAGGGGGAAGUUACUUUCGGGUGACUGAGACCGGCGUACGGGUGCGUAACGCGUAUACAAUCUGCCUUUCACUGGGGGAUAGCCCGAAGAAAUUUGGAUUAAUACCCCAUAGUAUAUAGGGACGGCAUCGUUUUUAUAUUAAAGCUUAGGUGGUGAAAGAUGAGUAUGCGUUCUAUUAGCUAGUUGGAGAGGUAAUGGCUCCCCAAGGCGAUGAUAGAUAGGGGUUCUGAGAGGGAUGUCCCCCACACUGGUACUGAGAUACGGACCAGACUCCUACGGGAGGCAGCAGUGAGGAAUAUUGGACAAUGGUCGGAAGACUGAUCCAGCCAUGCCGCGUGCAGGAUGAAGGUCUUAUGGAUUGUAAACUGCUUUUGUAAGGGAAGAAUAAGGGCUACGCGUAGUUUGAUGACGGUACCUUACGAAUAAGCAUCGGCUAACUCCGUG